UCAAGCGAACGAAGGUAUGUGGGGGAUGCCUGGGCACAUAGAGGCGAUGAAGGCCGCGGUAAGCUGCGAUAAGCUUGGGGGAGCGGCACACACGCGUUGAUCCCAAGAUGGCCGAAUGGGGAAACCCGGCCGGACGCGAGUCCGGUCACCGCGCAAGCGGAGCAAACCAGGGGAACUGAAACAUCUAAGUACCCUGAGGAAGAGAAAUCAAACGAGAUGCCCCGAGUAGUGGCGAGCGAAACGGGUACAGGCCAAACCGGUCUCCUUGUGGGGCCGGGGUUGUAGGACCUACGGACGCGCAGUGCGACGUCAGUCGAAGUCCCCUGGAACGGGGCGCCAGAGACGGUGAUAGCCCGGUAGGCGAAGAUCAUGCACACUGCGUAGUAGAGUUCCUGAGUAACGCCCGACCCGAGUAAUCGGGCGUGAAGCCGGGGGGACCACCCUCCAAGCCUAAAGACUCCUAUGUGACCGAUAGUGGACGAGUACCGUGAGGGACAGGUGAAAAGCACCCCUGUGCGGGGAGUGAAAGAGAUCCUGAAACCACAUACCUACAAGCGGUAGGAGGCUGGGCAUCGCAAGGUGUCACGGCUGACUGCGUGCCUUUUGCAUUAUGAUCCGGCGAGUUACUCCUCAGAUGCGAGGCUAAGCUGCUCAGCAGCGGAGCCAGAGCGAAAGCGAGUCCUGUAACGAGGGCGCAUGAGUAUCUGGGGGUACGACCCGAAACCAGGGCGAUCUACCCAUGAGCAGGGUGAAGCUGAGGUAACACUUAGUGGAGGCCCGAACCGGUAUGGGUUGAAAACCAUUCGGAUGACUUGUGGGUAGGGGUGAAAGGCCAAUCAAGCCUGGAGAUAGCUGGUUCUCCCCGAAAUCUAUUGAGGUAGAGCCUCGAGGCGUGUCAGCAGGGGGUAGAGCGACUGGAAGGGCGCGGGGGGUCGUAGACCCUACCAACCCCUACCAAACUCCGAAUACCUGUCUGAUGGACCUCGGGAGGCAGUCGCUGAGCGAUAAUGUCCAGCGGCGAGAGGGAAAGAACCCAGAACCACAGCUAAGGCCCCGAAGUGGCUGCUGAGUAUAGCGAAGGAUGUCGUCGUGCAGAGACAACUGGGAGGUUGGCUUAGAAGCAGCCAUUCCUUGAAAGAGUGCGUAAUAGCUCACCAGUCCAGCGUGAUGGCGCCGAGAAUGGUCGGGAUUAAGCAGCCCGCCGAAGCUUGGUCUUCACACUUUGUGUGAGGGGUAGGGGAGCGUUCCCUGUGCGUUGAAGUGGGGGUGGAAACCAACCCAUGGAGCGAAGGGAAGUGAGGAUGCCGGAUUAAGUACGCGCAAAUGCGGGUGAGAACCCCGCACACCGUAAACCCAAGGAUUCCUGCGCCAUGGCAAUCAGCGCAGGGUGAGGCGGACCCUAAGGCGAGGCCCCAAAGGCGUAGUCGAUGGAUAGCCGGUCAAGAUUCCGGCCCCAUCUUAUAGUCGUUGAAGCAUCCAGGGACCCUGGAACGAAGCGCGAGCGGCUUUGUGGAUGGCCGUUCAAGGGCGUAGGCGUAAGCCGAGACCUGAGUACGAGGCUACGGGGCAACCCAAGGCCAAGUCGUGUGGAGUCGGCAGGCAAGAAAAGCUGGGUGGGGAGACUAUGAGAUGUCCGUACCGUAAACCGACACAGGUGGGUUAGGCGAGUAGCCUCAGGUGCACGAGUGAAACGUGGUCAAGGAACUCGGCAUAAUGAUCCCGUAACUUCGGAAGAAGGGAUGCCCCCUUUGGUUGCCAGACUUGCUCUGGUUGCUCGAGGAGGCCGCAGAGAAUCGGCUCAAGCGACUGUUUAGCAAAAACACAGGUGCGUGCCAAGCCGCGUAAGGCGCCGUAUACGCACUGACGCCUGCCCGGUGCCGGAAGGUUAAGGGGAGAGGUUAGCCGCAAGGCGAAGCUUUGAGCCGAAGCCCCGGUAAACGGCGGCCGUAACUAUAACGGUCCUAAGGUAGCGAAAUUCCUUGUCGGGUAAGUUCCGACCU
rnacentral:rRNA from 1 species